UCUGGAUGUAGGGCAGCAGCUGUGCGUAGGCCUCGGGCGUGACCGCCCCGCCCUUCCUGGCCUGCCGGAUCAUGGCCAACCGCCGCGUCAGGCUCCUCUCGUUGUAGAACUGCCGCAGGGCACACGCACCUGUAAAUGUUUGCGCAUGAUCCAGGUCACAUGACUGGCUCCCCGUUGCAGAGCGAUGGAGAUGAUGUGAGCGCUGGUCAGGCCUCCUCCAAUCACCAGCAUCCUCUCCCCAGUGUGGCAAACAAGAGGGUUCCUGCUUCCUGCAGCAGGGUUCCUGCUUCCUGUUGCCAUGAGUGAGCCUGCUGAUGCAUAAGCUGCACGGUGUGCUGUAGGCGGUCCUCUGGGUAGCUCUCAGUGAUGGCAGACACCCAGGCAGGGAUGUUGGCCAUCUGAGCCCGGGUGGGGCCUGUCGCCAUGACUACCCUCCUGGCUUCAAUAAUGUUCCCGUCUUGCAGCAGCACCCUGAAGGACAGCGCCUCCUUGUGUUCACCAGGCUCCUCCAGCGCAGCUGACUGGCCUGACAUGACAGGAAUAAUCCUAUCCACUGUGCCUCUUAUCAGGACACUGUCCAGCCCAUACCUGCGAACCUGGUCACAACAGAACCAGAGCCCCGCAAAAUCAUCUUCUGCAUAUUAACUGAGUUACAGCAUUCUGAAACAAAACAACACACUGCCAAUGGACAGCAAGAUGUUUUUCUCUUUUUUGAGCUUUUAAAAAAUAAUUUUGCUUGUUAAUUUGUAAUUUGUUGUGAGACAUGGAUGACUACCUCCCACCGGCAGUAUGUGAUGUACAAUACAGUACAGGUUCGUCUGGAGUAACUAUA